AGUAACCCUGCUAAUCAUGUGGAUGUACUAAUUCCUGAAGUCAUUCAAUCUACUGAAAAGGUGCUCGUACUUGAGUAUAUGGACGGUGUUCGUUUGAAUGAUGCCGAAUCACUUCAAGCCUUGGGAGUAGAUAAGCAAAAACUUGUCGAAGAAAUUACACGUGCAUAUGCACACCAAAUUUAUGUUGAUGGAUUUUUUAAUGGAGACCCUCAUCCAGGAAAUUUUCUGGUGAGCAAGGAACCACCACAU
rnacentral:misc_RNA from 1 species